AUUGAACGCUGGCGGCAUGCCUUACACAUGCAAGUCGAACGGCAGCGCGGACUUCGGUCUGGCGGCGAGUGGCGAACGGGUGAGUAAUGUAUCGGAACGUACCAUUCAGUGGGGAUAACGCAGCGAAAGUUGCGCUAAUACCGCAUAUUCUGUGCGCAGGAAAGCAGGGGAUCGCAAGACCUUGCGCUGAUUGAGCGGCCGAUAUCAGAUUAGCUAGUUGGUGAGGUAAAGGCUCACCAAGGCGACGAUCUGUAGCGGGUCUGAGAGGAUGAUCGCCACACUGGAACUGAGACACGGUCCAGACUCCUACGGAGGCAGCAGUGGGAAUUUUGGACAAUGGGCGCAAGCCUGAUCCAGCCAUGCCGCGUGAGUUGAAGAAGGCCUCGGUUGUAAGAC
rnacentral:rRNA from 1 species